AGAGUUUGAUCCUGGCUCAGGACGAACGCUGGCGGCGUGCCUAAUACAUGCAAGUAGAACGCUGAAGAGAGGAGCUUGCUCUUCUUGGAUGAGUUGCGAACGGGUGAGUAACGCGUAGGUAACCUGCCUUGUAGCGGGGGAUAACUAUUGGAAACGAUAGCUAAUACCGCAUAACAAUGGAUGACACAUGUCAUUUAUUUGAAAGGGGCAAUUGCUCCACUACAAGAUGGACCUGCGUUGUAUUAGCUAGUAGGUGAGGUAAUGGCUCACCUAGGCGACGAUACAUAGCCGACCUGAGAGGGUGAUCGGCCACACUGGGACUGAGACACGGCCCAGACUCCUACGGGAGGCAGCAGUAGGGAAUCUUCGGCAAUGGGGGCAACCCUGACCGAGCAACGCCGCGUGAGUGAAGAAGGUUUUCGGAUCGUAAAGCUCUGUUGUAAGUCAAGAACGGGUGUGAGAGUGGAAAGUUCACACUGUGACGGUAGCUUACCAGAAAGGGACGGCUAACUACGUGCCAGCAGCCGCGGUAAUACGUAGGUCCCGAGCGUUGUCCGGAUUUAUUGGGCGUAAAGCGAGCGCAGGCGGUUUGAUAAGUCUGAAGUUAAAGGCUGUGGCUCAACCAUAGUUCGCUUUGGAAACUGUCAAACUUGAGUGCAGAAGGGGAGAGUGGAAUUCCAUGUGUAGCGGUGAAAUGCGUAGAUAUAUGGAGGAACACCGGUGGCGAAAGCGGCUCUCUGGUCUGUAACUGACGCUGAGGCUCGAAAGCGUGGGGAGCGAACAGGAUUAGAUACCCUGGUAGUCCACGCCGUAAACGAUGAGUGCUAGGUGUUGGAUCCUUUCCGGUAUUCAGUGCCGCAGCUAACGCAUUAAGCACUCCGCCUGGGGAGUACGACCGCAAGGUUGAAACUCAAAGGAAUUGACGGGGGCCCGCACAAGCGGUGGAGCAUGUGGUUUAAUUCGAAGCAACGCGAAGAACCUUACCAGGUCUUGACAUCCCGAUGCUAUUUCUAGAGAUAGAAAGUUACUUCGGUACAUCGGUGACAGGUGGUGCAUGGUUGUCGUCAGCUCGUGUCGUGAGAUGUUGGGUUAAGUCCCGCAACGAGCGCAACCCCUAUUGUUAGUUGCCAUCAUUCAGUUGGGCACUCUAGCGAGACUGCCGGUAAUAAACCGGAGGAAGGUGGGGAUGACGUCAAAUCAUCAUGCCCCUUAUGACCUGGGCUACACACGUGCUACAAUGGUUGGUACAACGAGUUGCGAGUCGGUGACGGCGAGCUAAUCUCUUAAAGCCAAUCUCAGUUCGGAUUGUAGGCUGCAACUCGCCUACAUGAAGUCGGAAUCGCUAGUAAUCGCGGAUCAGCACGCCGCGGUGAAUACGUUCCCGGGCCUUGCACUCACCGCCCGUCA
rnacentral:rRNA from 1 species